rnacentral:lncRNA from 1 species
AGGUUUAACCGUAUUACCACAGUAUGACCUUAUAUUAUUUUUUUCCUUUCAAGGAUUAACCGUAUUACCACAGUAUGACCUUAAGAAUUUGCUUAGAUGAUUCGCUUAUAUUCAUCGACAAACCUACUUAAUGUGUGACUUUAUAGAUGGUGUCCGACUGGAUAGAUAAACUACUAAAGGAUUCCACAAAUUUAAAUCAGGAGAUUUUGGCACAAUGGUU